AUAAGAUUAUGACUUCUAUCUUGCUAGUAGACCCUCUCCAUUAACUCUCUCUCUUUCUGAUUGAGUGUAAGCUGCUAUAUGAAGGGAUCCACAAGACGAAUAAUUAAGGGGGACCUCUGAUCAACAGCCAGCAAGGAACUGAAUCCCUCAGACCCACAACUCACAAGAAACUGAAGCUGAAGCAGAUUCUUCCUCAGUCAAGCUUCAGGUGCCCAGCUGUAUUGGUAGAGGAGACCAACCACACCCUCCACAGCACAGCACCUGGAGAGGAACUGCUGCCAUGACCAUAGAGGACACCCUCUGGAUACAAUGCCAGACUUGAUGUGGGACUGACCAACCUAUGGACCCCAGGCACCACCACCCAGACCUGCUCAGCACCUGAAACAUUCACAGCCGUGGAGAGAGAACUGUUCACUGCUACCAUCCACACUUCUGGGCCCCUUCAGCAGCAGGGUGACAAGGAAGAGGGAAAUCGACUUGGAAAAGAGGGGACCUCUGACCCAAGAGUUCGGUCAAUGCAUAUGUUGGCAGCCAGCUGCACAUCGCACCAAAUAUGAACUUCAAAUAGAAGAAAGCCUCAUUUGGAAGAAAGCUCAUGCACAGACUGUAAAUAUUUCAGAGCAGAUUGUGUCUCUGUAGAUUAAGGCUAUAGAAAGAUUUUUUAAAGAUCUAUAUGAAGAAUAAGAAGUUAGUCCCUUUCGGACAAAAAUCUUCAGUAAAAUUGAUCUGUGCCCCAGGCACACAAAGAAGCAGGAAUCUGGGUAUUCUCACUGUCAAUAUUCCAUAUGUCUAGCCCCUGGAAACCUAAAACAAGACCAGAGAAUACCAAGGAAGGCAGAUUAUUUGGAAGACAUGGAUGCCAAAGUGCUUCUCAAUCCAGUCUCAGAAGCCAGAGAUGUCAGUGGGUGCUGCUGUUUUAUUUCCUGUGAAUCGGAGGACGAUGAGAAACCAAAUGAAAAUAUUGCCACAGUUAAGAUUGAAAAGAAGGCAAUUUAUGAGUGAGGUGUGGAUUUCAAAUGAGAUCUUCUCUGUUGACAGAGAGCCUUUGCUCUAAGCCAAUACCUGAGCUUCUGCCAGUUUGAACAAUUAUAAUGGAGGAAGGAGAUGAGGGAUUAGAAAAAACAAAGCUGACAGAUGGCAAUUUGUGAAGAGUUGAAUCAACAUAAAUUAUAUCUCAUCAGUGAGCAGAGGAAAGAGAGGAUGUUUUCCAGUGUUCGGCUAACCACUGAGAUGGUGAACAUGCCAGAGGCACAGCAAGCAAACCACUGGGCACCCUCCAGAUCUGGAUGCAAGCACAGAGCUGGAGAAAUACCCUUUAUUGGAAAGCCAUAUGGAUUGCAAAUUGUGGAUAGACAUCUAUUUGAAACAAUACAAUAAAUGAACAUCUGGGAUUUUGGUAGGUGUCAGUCAUAGACUACAGAAAACCAGAACAAAAUUGCUCAUAACUAAAUAUGAUAAUGCAGAAAGUAUCCAAGACUCGCCAGUUCAAAACCCACAUUUUUAAUAGUGUAUAUGGUUAAGUGUAAAUGUUUUUUUCUGAGGUUAGAAACAGUUCACUGAAAUCAUAUAAAAUGUUCAAGUUAUCAAUU
ensembl:lncRNA MIR3976HG MIR3976 host gene